rnacentral:lncRNA from 1 species
GGGUGGCUAGUGCCGCUACCUGGAGAAGGAUCGUGCGAUGCGUUUCUGGAGUUAAGCUGCAACAAAGAUCAUUUUCAAUGUCUCGUUAGCAUUACGACACUCAAAUGUUGAGACUACCAACUAAUGUCCAUUCAAACUAAACUCACCGUGCUCCCAGGAGCAAUCACUGGCAUCGGCGGAGCGGGCUGACCGGACUUCUCGCACACAGACUGCACAUUUGGUUUUCAGAACAGAGUCAUACUAGUUAGUAAUGAGACUCAAAUGUUAAGACUAGCAAGUAAUCUGCAGAAGAAACUUACCACAAGGAGCUCGUACAUGGCCCUUGCCUGCAUGUCAUUCCUUGCCCUCUCCUCCUCCAUCAUCUUUCUCGUCCUCUCCUCCAUCUCCCGCUGCCUCUCCG